UGGAGAGUUUGAUCCUGGCUCAGGACGAACACUGGCGGCGUGCUUAACACAUGCAAGUCGAACGGUAAGGCCCUUUCGGGGGUACACGAGUGGCGAACGGGUGAGUAACACGUGGGUGACCUGCCCUGUACUUCGGGAUAAGCCUGGGAAACUGGGUCUAAUACCGGAUAUGACCUUCUCCUGCAUGGGGGUUGGUGGAAAGCUUUUGCGGUACAGGAUGGGCCCGCGGCCUAUCAGCUUGUUGGUGGGGUAAUGGCCUACCAAGGCGACGACGGGUAGCCGGCCUGAGAGGGCGACCGGCCACACUGGGACUGAGACACGGCCCAGACUCCUACGGGAGGCAGCAGUGGGGAAUAUUGCACAAUGGGCGCAAGCCUGAUGCAGCGACGCCGCGUGAGGGAUGACGGCCUUCGGGUUGUAAACCUCUUUCAGUAGGGACGAAGCGCAAGUGACGGUACCUACAGAAGAAGCACCGGCCAACUACGUGCCAGCAGCCGCGGUA
rnacentral:rRNA from 1 species